GGACCAGUCACCACAAUGUCUGCUUUGCAAGUAAUAGAGCUAAUUGAUGAUACAGAAGCCACAGUUUGGUUCUUUCAGCUAUAAGUGGCUACACAGAUCUGUAGCCAAGACCAUCCUUACACAGAGUGCACAUGGAGGGGGAAGAUCCUUCAAAAUAGCUCCGUUCCGUAAUAGUACUGCGCAGCCCCUAGUCAGCCUGUCAGUCUACCUUUCUGAAUUCUGAGAUGCUCUGGAAAUCAAAAAUGAAUAACACGUCACGUCCUUCCAUGUUGGAGAACUGUGGCCAGAUGACCUCUGUCAAAUGCUGUGCUCCUGCAAUGAAGAAAGGAAUGAAGACAGCAAGUCUUCCGAGAAAAAAUGAAGCAAGGCAUCGCACCCAUCCCUUUUCCAGAGCCAACCUUCACUCACCUAGAGAACAUUAAAGUGAAAGGCACAUAUUUAAAAUACAAAAAUGUAUACCUUUUGAAUGCAUCCAUCUCUACAACCGUGGCCUUUGGAUUUUAACAUGAAGUCUCAAUUAAGAAACCUUUUGAAAGAAAUGAGAAAAUCUAUCUCAGACAUGCCAAGGGGAAAGCACAGAAUUGUAGAUAAAGACAGCUGGCUGGUGGUUAAAUGAAAGUGCAAUAUUAAAGAUUACAUUUGAUCAAGUUGACUCUACAAAAAUAUUUUUAUGGCUACAGUGGGAUCCCACAGCAAUUUCGAGGUAAUAUAUGGCUUUGUAUCUGUCCUUAGAAGAUUUCUUUGAUGCUUGUUCUAUAUGUAGAGUUAAAGGGAAGAUGAGGACUGAGAUUACGGUCUCUUUCCCUCAGGGUGUGCAAGGACAGGCCUGGGUGGAAGAAAGGGAUCUCUUUAUGCUCCACUUUCUUAGAUCUAUCUGGGUAGAGUAGGCCCUGAAAAGAUUGUGAAAAUGUGGGCAAAUUUCAGUGAAUACCCCAGCAUCCUGCUCAAACUGAAAAGGGAAACAUAGCCAAUGCCAGUGAUUCUA
rnacentral:lncRNA from 12 species